rnacentral:rRNA from 1 species
GUCUGUUUGAAGAUAUAAAAAGUCUGGCCUGCCCACUGAUAUUUUUAAAGGGCCGCGGUAAUUUGACCGUGCAAAGGUAGCAUAAUCGUUAGUUUUUUAAUUGGAAUCUUGUAUGAAUGGUUGAACAAAAGAAUAACUGUCUUUAUGUUUUUUUUUUGAAUUUAACUUUUAAGUGAAAAGGCUUAAAUAAAUUAAAAAGACGAUAAGACCCUAUAAAGCUUAAUAAGUUUUUAUAUAGAAUUAAAUUUUUAAAAUAAAAAUUUUGUAUGUAUUGCUUAUUUUGUUGGGGCGACAAUAAUAAAAUGUUUAUUAACUGUUAAAAAAAGAAACAUAGUUUUAUGAUUUAGUAUAAAUGUAAAUGAUCCUUAUAUAAAGAUUAAAAGUUUAAGUUACUUUAGGGAUAACAGCGUUAUUUCUUUUGAGAGUUCUUAUCGAAAAAGAAGUUUGCGACCUCGAUGUUGAAUUAAAAUUUCUUUGUAAUUGUAGAAGUUACAAAAGAAGGUCUGUUCGACCUUUAAAUUUUUACAUGAUUUGAGUUCAGACCGGCGUGAG